rnacentral:rRNA from 1 species
GUGGGGAAUUUUGGACAAUGGGGGCAACCCUGAUCCAGCAAUGCCGCGUGCAGGAAGAAGGCCUUCGGGUUGUAAACUGCUUUUGUACGGAACGAAACGGUCCUGGUUAAUACCUGGGGCUAAUGACGGUACCGUAAGAAUAAGCACCGGCUAACUACGUGCCAGCAGCCGCGGUAAUACGUAGGGUGCAAGCGUUAAUCGGAAUUACUGGGCGUAAAGCGUGCGCAGGCGGUUUUGUAAGACAGGCGUGAAAUCCCCGGGCUCAACCUGGGGAUGGCGCUUGUGACUGCAAGGCUGGAGUGCGGCAGAGGGGGAUGGAAUUCCGCGUGUAGCAGUGAAAUGCGUAGAUAUGCGGAGGAACACCGAUGGCGAAGGCAAUCCCCUGGGCCUGCACUGACGCUCAUGCACGAAAGCGUGGGGAGCAAACAGGAUUAGAAACCCUUGUAGUCC